rnacentral:tRNA from 1 species
UAAAAAAGCUGGGCUAAGAUAAAGCUUCUAACUUUAUUCAGAGAGGUUCGACUCCUUUCUUUUUUAU